AGGAAACACGUGAGAGAGAGAGAGAGAGGAAGAAGGAAGGAGAAAGAGAGGGAGUUAGGCUCGGAUCUAGGAGUCUUUGUGACCGUUGCGAGCUCGGCUACACGAUAGAAAAUUGUUGGUGGAACUUAUUGAGAAGUAAGGAACAAGCCGAGCCCUAUUUUGUACAAGGGGAACCCUUUUAGUACCAAAGGGUUGAGGUCCAGGCGAAGGAUCCAGUGGUGGACGGGGAAAAGAGCAAAGCUAGGGGUUUGCUUGUGAUUUGUAAAGAACUGCAACCCCUUUCUUUUGAGCAAAUAUAUUGUAAUGUAUUUAAGAUUAGGGUGCCAGUAGGAUAUGAUUAUGUGUGUGUGUGUGUGAAUAUGUGUGGAUUGUGUGCUUGUGUAUGAAUUUUUGUCUGUUUGCAGACUUGUGGCUAGGAAACUUGGUUAUGGUGUGUGGUUUUGAUGGAUUUACUUAGUAGACCAAGUUUCUAUUACAAGCAGAUCUUUAUUUUGAUAUA